UUCCUUUGAGUUUCAGCCUUCCGACAAAACUCCCCAGGCGGAGCACUUAACACUUUCGCUUCGGUCGGAAACCUAUGGAGGAGCCUCCAACCUAGUGCUCAUCGUUUACAGCUAGGACUACCGGGGUAUCUAAUCCCGUUCGCUACCCUAGCUUUCGUGCCUCAGCGUCAGAAAAGACCCAGUGAGCCGCUUUCGCCACAGGUGUUCCUAAUGAUAUCAACGCAUUUCACCGCUCCACCAUUAGUUCCGCUCACCUCUAUCUUCCUCUAGCUUGGCAGUUUUGAGCGCAGUUCCUCGGUUGAGCCGAGGGAUUUCACACCCAACUUGUUAUGCCGCCUACGCACCCUUUAAGCCCAGUGAUUCCGAAUAACGUUUGGACGGUUCGUCUUACCGCGGCUGCUGGCACGAACUUAGCCCGUCCUUCCUCUGAAGAUAGGUCAACUAUGGGGGAGAACCCCCAUAGAUUUCCUCCCAACUGACAGCGGUUUACAACCCGAAGGCCUUCAUCCCGCGCGCGGCGUCGCUCCGUCAGGCUUUCGCCCAUUGCGGA
rnacentral:rRNA from 1 species